AGAUGGUGGUGCCAGGGUUGGCAAUUUGACUGCCAAGUCUUGGAAAUCCUCAGAGGACAAUCUUGACUGUUGUGCUGCCUGCCCCUUUUGGUCGGAAGUGGCGAGGGAUGAAGCCCAGAGGAACACUGAGGCCAGUGGGAGCUGGGGUGCCCAGCACCCUCUUUCUUCCAUUGUCCCCUGAACACGGAUCCUGGGAAUGUCUCUGCAAAUGGCAGGAAGGAUGAAGAUCACUGAUGGGCCAUUGUCAGCAGAAGAGCAGCAAGACAGAGCUGCAGUGAGGCCUGCAGGUAGACACCAGCAUGACUUCCUAGUAAAGAGAGGCACAGGCUAGGGAUAGAAAGAUCUGGAUGGGGUCUAAGAUGUUUUCAGACAAUGGAUAUUUGAAAACUCUCAGAGGAUAAUGGUUUGGAAACCCAGUCGCCACCAACCCCUUCUCAGGACUAUCAGAGCCAGGGCCUUGGGGCUGGGGUGAACAGAGGGGUACUGAGGUCUUGACCUGGGAGACACAGCAAUUAGGAACCUGGGAAACUUAGAAACUACAGGUCUGUAGUGAGGAUGACAGUCAGGAAAUUCCUUGAGAAGAUUUAGGUGACGGGAUAAGGGGAUGGGCCUCUGAAGGUCCCACCGGGCCCCAGAAUCCUACAGGGCAGGAAGACUAAGAACAGGUCCCAUCUGGAGACCAAGUCUCCAGAGCCCCCUUUCUUGAGCCCCUGGAAUCCAAGAUCCUGAAACCCUGCCCCUCCAGACCAGGUCUUGGCAGGGCUAGCAGUGAUAACAAAGGGGUGAGGGCAGUGUAAUGGGUCAGGCACAUCACAGCUCCUAUUAAGAGGCUUGGCGCUCGAGGUCAAGGGGUAGGAGCAGGUGGGCUUAUUACCCGCCUCACCAAUACCAAGUCACUCAUAGUCCUUCUUCUACAGCCCCUUCCUGCCCCAUACAGUGUCUGAGUCAGCCUUUUGAUGGCCCAACGGAGCCCACAGGAGCUCCCAGGAAACCGUCUCAGGCCCCAGCACAGGCCCAGGCACAUAGGAGGCUUCCAGGAAAUGCUUGUCAAGUGGAACAGUAGCAAGAAGGAAUUGAAAAGCCCAACCCUCUGAUGGGACUUGCUCACGUCAUCCAGUAAGGAGCUGCUCAGGGCCUGGAACUAAGCCUGGGUGGGCUUUGCUUAGCACGCUGCCUCCUAGGGAGAGGGUGGGAUGGCGAGGAGAUGGCCUGGCUCAGGCUCUGCGGCACAGAGCCCCGCUCCACCUGAAAAGGCCCAGCCUGAGAAGGGAGGAUGAGCCAGCAGAGGAGAAGGGAGAGCUCAUAGGCCAGACCCCUGGGGAGUCCCUGAGCAGGGGAGGUCAGCCUCCCGUCCCCCGGGAUCCAAGUGACCCAGGCUAAAGGAGAAGGUGAAGUUGUUUACAUUGUAGACAUAGCACAGAGGGUGGAUGGUGACUUGAGUCAGUGUGUAAGCCCAUCCUCACACCUCUUUCCUCUCUGACCAGAGAAAGCUGGAAAGUUUAGCCCAUCCUAACUCUAGACUAAGAUGGAGAGGGGCCAAGACAGAGGGGAGGACAGAGAGGUAACCCCCAGACAAAGCACCAGUACCACAGGAGCUGGGUGGGGAAGGCUGGGCCAGGACAGAGGCCACAUUCUCUGGGGAAUGUGCUGCCCACAGGCAGGCUGAACUAAGGACAAAUACAGGCUCCACGUAGAACAGUGUCAGUGUCAGAAUGUUUCUCAGGAGGGAAGUUGGGAAGUUUAGAGCCUGCUCUUGCCCUGCACGGCACUUGUUCCCAGCCCCUGCUGACCCACCAGCCAUGAUGGGAGGCUAGGGAGAGGGGCUGGGACGUGGUGGAGGGCAUGGGGCUGACCUAGGGGACAAAAACAGAAAUGAGGACAACGACUGGUGUUGUCUGCUCCAGAGUCAUGGCAUUUAGGCCCUGGAUACCAGCCCCCCUCACCACCUCUCCCUAGCCUGUCAGUAAAGCUGUGCACUCAC